GACGAACGCUGGCGGCGUGCCUAACACAUGCAAGUCGAACGGAGCUUUAAUAACAGAAUCUUUCGGGAGGAAGUUGCUAAAGCUUAGUGGCGGACGGGUGAGUAACGCGUGAGUAACCUGCCCUUGAGAGGGGAAUAACAUUCUGAAAAGGAUGCUAAUACCGCAUAACAUAUCAUUGUCGCAUGGCAGAGAUAUCAAAGAUUUAUCGCUCAGGGAUGGACUCGCGUCCGAUUGGCCGGUUGGCGGGGUAACGGCCCACCAAAGCAACGAUCGGUAGCCGGACUGAGAGGUUGAACGGCCACAUUGGGACUGAGACACGGCCCAGACUCCUACGGGAGGCAGCAGUGGGGGAUAUUGCGCAAUGGGGGCAACCCUGACGCAGCAACGCCGCAUGAAUGAAGAAGGUCUUCGGAUUGUAAAGUUCUUUUAUUAAGGACGAAGAGAUGACGGUACUUAAUGAAUAAGCUCCGGCUAACUACGUG
rnacentral:rRNA from 1 species